AUCGANAAGACCUCAUGCUUUUGGAGCGGCCGAUGUCUGAUUAGCUAGUUGGUAAGGUAAUGGCUUACCAAGGCAACGAUCAGUAGUUGGUCUGAGAGGACGACCAGCCACACUGGGACUGAGACACGGCCCAGACUCUACGGGAGGCAGCAGUGGGGAAUUUUGGACAAUGGGCGCAAGCCUGAUCCAGCAAUGCCGCGUGAGUGAAGAAGGCCUUCGGGUUGUAAAGCUCUUUCAGUUGAGAAGAAAAAAUUCUGGCUAAUACCCAGAAUUCAUGACGGUAUCGACAGAAGAAGCACCGGCUAACUACGUGCCAGCAGCCGCGGUAAUACGUAGGGUGCAAGCGUUAAUCGGAAUUACUGGGCGUAAAGGGUGCGCAGGUGGUUUUGUAAGUCAGAUGUGAAAUCCCCGGGCUUAACCUGGGAAUUGCGUUUGANAACUACAA
rnacentral:rRNA from 1 species